AUUGUUGGUAAAGAGGCUAGACUAGAACAUGACAUUUAGAGUUGCCAAAAUCUUUCUCCUAAAUCAGGACAUGCCAACGACCCCACUUCUUCACAGCCUGCUGGGAGAUGAGAGACCAUGUGGAGUGGAGCCAAGUCCAUUCUAGACUAACCAACCCCCAGCAAACCCAGCAAGUAUUUAUGGAUUCAUGAACAAGUUCAGCCCUGUCACCAUCCAAACCCUCAAAAUCAAAUCAGUUAUCAAGACCAAUUGAUUCCACUUUGGCAAUAUUUAUCAUAUUCGUCCAUUUUGCUGUAAGAUCCUCACCAAUUGUUGUUGGAACUAUUUUACUUUUUUAAUUACUUAUGUAAAAAUUGUGAACAAUAAAACCUAAUCCUAAUGUGAAUUUUUUAUUAAAAAAAAUUUUUUUAAUGCUUAUUUUAUUUUUGAGGGAGAGAG